rnacentral:rRNA from 1 species
AAGCGCUCAUGACCAGACUUGGGCUUGGUUGAUCAUCCAGGGUUCUCCCUGGUGCACUCUUCCAGCCCAGGCCAGCAUCAGUUCGCUGUGGGGGAUAAAGGCUUUGGGAAUGUAGCUCUUCCGGGAGUGUUAUAGCCCGUUGCACAAUACCUCUGAGGGGACCGAGGUUCGCGCUCUGCAAGGAUGCUGGCGUAAUGGUCAUCAGCG